AUGGCCGCCACGUCGUGCGCGCUAGUCUCGGCCCUCGUAGUCGGCCGGCGCCGCGGGCCGUCCUGCCAGCGCGCGGCGGCCGCCGGUGUGGUUCGAUGCUCGCUCGACAGCAAGGUCUCCGACAUGGCCAUCAACGCACCGAAAGGACUGUUCCCGCCGGAGCCUGAGCACUACAGGGGCCCGAAGCUCAAGGUCGCCAUCAUAGGUGCCGGCCUCGCCGGCAUGUCCACCGCAGUAGAGCUCUUGGACCAGGGACAUGAGGUUGAUCUGUAUGACUCCCGAACUUUUAUUGGCGGCAAGGUUGGUUCUUUUGUCGACAAGCAUGGGAACCAUAUCGAGAUGGGGCUGCAUGUCUUCUUUGGUUGUUACAGCAAUCUUUUCCGCCUCAUGAAGAAGGUUGGGGCUGAUAAUAAUCUACUAGUCAAGGAACAUACCCAUACUUUUGUAAAUAAAGGGGGCAUUGUUGGUGAACUUGAUUUUCGGUUCCCUGUGGGAGCUCCAUUACAUGGUAUCCAAGCAUUUCUAAGAACCAAUCAACUCAAGGUUUAUGAUAAGGCAAGGAAUGCAGUUGCUCUCGCCCUAAGCCCAGUUGUUCGAGCUCUUCUUGAUCCAGACGGUGCAUUGCAACAAGUACGGGACUUGGAUGAUGUAAGUUUCACUGAUUGGUUCAUGUCUAGAGGUGGUACUCGAGAGAGCAUCACAAGAAUGUGGGAUCCUGUUGCUUAUGCUCUUGGUUUUAUCGACUGUGAUAAUAUCAGUGCUCGAUGCAUGCUUACUAUUUUCACCCUGUUUGCCACAAAGACAGAGGCAUCUUUGUUGCGCAUGCUAAAGGGCUCACCUGAUGUUUACUUAAGUGGCCCAAUAAAGAAGUACAUAACAGACAGGGGUGGUAGGUUUCACUUGAAGUGGGGAUGCCGAGAGGUUCUCUACGAUAAGUCACCCGAUGGAGAGACCUAUGUGAAAGGCUUUCUCAUCUCUAAGGCUACAAGUAGUGAGAUAAUCAAAGCAGAUGCAUAUGUUGCAGCUUGUGAUGUCCCAGGGAUCAAAAGACUAUUACCAUCGGAAUGGAGGGAAUGGGAUAUGUUUGACAAUAUAUACAAGUUAGAUGGUGUUCCUGUAGUCACUGUUCAGCUUCGCUACAAUGGAUGGGUUACUGAAGUCCAAGACUUGGAGAAAUCAAGACAACUCCAAAAAGCAGUUGGCUUGGAUAAUCUACUCUAUACUCCAGAUGCAGACUUCUCCUGUUUUUCAGACCUUGCACUGUCAUCUCCUGCUGACUACUACAUUGAAGGACAAGGUUCCCUGAUCCAAGCUGUGCUAACUCCAGGUGAUCCGUACAUGCCAUUGCCAAAUGAGGAGAUUAUUAGCAAGGUUGAAAAACAGGUCUUAGAUUUGUUUCCAUCAGCCCGAGGCUUGGAAGUUACAUGGUCCAGUGUGGUAAAGAUCGGACAAUCCUUGUACCGUGAGGCUCCUGGAAAUGAUCCAUUUAGACCUGACCAGAAGACACCAGUUAAAAAUUUCUUCUUGUCUGGCUCUUACACGAAACAGGACUACAUUGACAGCAUGGAAGGAGCAACUCUUUCUGGCAGGCGAACAGCAGCCUACAUCUGUGGUGCUGGAGAGGAGUUAUUAGCCAUUCGAAAGAAGCUCAUUGUCGAUCACAGCGAGAAGGCCUCCGGGAUGGUUCAAAUGUUGCAAACAAGUUAA
rnacentral:rRNA from 1 species